rnacentral:rRNA from 1 species
GAUGAACGCUGGCGGCGUGCUUAACACAUGCAAGUCGAACGUGAGAGGUAGCAAUAUCUUGAAAGUGACGAACGGGUGAGUAACACGUAGGUGACCUGCCUCGGAGCGGGGGAUAACAGUUAGAAAUGACUGCUAAUACCGCAUGAAUCCACUGGGAUGGGAAGAAUGGUGGAGAAAAACUCUGGUGCUUCGAGAGGGGCCUGCGGUCGAUUAGCUAGUUGGUGGGGUAAAGGCCUACCAAGGCGACGAUCGAUAGCUGGUCUGAGAGGACGAUCAGCCACACGGGAACUGAGACACGGUCCCGACUCCUACGGGGGGCAGCAGUGAGGAAUAUUGGGCAAUGGCGGAAGCCUGACCCAGCAACGCCGCGUGGAGGAAUGAAGGCCUUCGGUUGUAAACGUACCUUUU